GCCUCUGGGAGAACCAUGCAGCGGGAGUAACUGGAAGGAUGGGACAAUAUUCACCCAGUGGUGCACUCCGACCGCGCUGGCUGUUGAUCCCGGACGGGGUCAUGGGGCUGAAGACAGGCGGGCCUUGAGUGUUCUGGUGGCCUGGAGACCCUUGAGAGGAUGGAGGUAGAUCCUGUCCUCACUCAGAGGAGCAGGGCGAGUGUGUGUCUGCCUACAGGACGGUCCUCAAUGCACAGACGAACCACAAGCAUGUGUGUGCACUGUGGGUGCCCGGGCCAAACACACACGCACACAUGCACGCAGACACACACACACACGCACAAAUGCACGCAGACACACACAGACACCAACACACACACAUAUACAUCAGACAGAAGGACCAUGGAGUGUGUGUGUGUCUGAGUGUGUCUGUGUGUGUGUGUGUGUGUGUCUGAGUGUGUCUGUGUGUGUGUGUUUGUGUGUGUGUGCGCUUGUGGGUGGAAUGCAUACUCUCUGAACCAAAGCGUUAAAAAAGAACUCUCUGAACAGCCCCCCCGCCCCCCGGGGUUACCUGGAGGAGCAGAGGCGGUGCCGGCGGUCUGGGUGGGAAGAGAGACGUUGCACAUCGCAUUAAUCAGCCUCAGAGCCCCGGGACGCCGGUGACGAGCGACGACAGAACUGAGCCAGGAGGCAGGUAGAGGUGUGUUCCACUUCACUGACCGCUGGGAACGAUUCAGCGAGUCCAGGUGAUGUGCUGAACAGGCCAGGGGUCCGUCCCGUGGUUUGGAGCGGUCGUACGUCUGAGAAGAAGUGGUCUUCGUCAGAUGGAACCUGGUGACAUCAGCGAGCUGCCGGAAGGGUUCUUCCAGGGAUCCUUGAUGAACUCCAUGCCUGAAAUACAAUGAGGAUGAAAUAUAAAGGAU
ensembl:lncRNA